GGAACAACUCCGGGAAACUGGAGCUAAUACCGUAUACGUCCUUCGGGAGAAAGAUUUAUCGGAGAUGGAUGAGCCCGCGUUGGAUUAGCUAGUUGGUGGGGUAAUGGCCUACCAAGGCGACGAUCCAUAGCUGGUCUGAGAGGAUGAUCAGCCACACUGGGACUGAGACACGGCCCAGACUCCUACGGGAGGCAGCAGUGGGGAAUAUUGGACAAUGGGCGCAAGCCUGAUCCAGCCAUGCCGCGUGAGUGAUGAAGGCCCUAGGGUUGUAAAGCUCUUUCACCGGUGAAGAUAAUGACGGUAAC
rnacentral:rRNA from 1 species